rnacentral:lncRNA from 1 species
AUGAUAUCUGUACGGUGGCUGCCUUUCAUGGGGGUGAGUUCUGAGAGGAGACAUGCCAAUGUACAAAUGUUUAUCAAGCUUUUGUUUGUAUUACAGGCAGUUUUGAACAUCUGGAGGCCUGAUUUAUUGGAGAUUGCAAAUGUACGGUGUAACAUAGCUGUGGAGAGCGAGAAGAUCAGGAUUGUCAAUGCUGUCAUUGCUUUUACUGGAAUCCCCAGCACGAAUUGAAGGAAUUCUACUAGUGCAUGUGGAGAGAAACAUGGCUGCUGCAUGGAGUCAUAAACCUCAGAGGAAGCUGAGAAUGAGAUGAAAUGUAUAUGUAACCCUUGUGUAUGGCAAGUUUGGCAAGAAAUAAAAAGCAUACUUGGCAGAUUAAGAUAAGGUUUCUCUCUGUUUACUGAUAUAGUCUCAGGUUUGCAUUGUGUGAUGAAUAAUAGGUUGGGGGAAGAUAUCCUUUGUUUAUUCAUUCAUUUCAUCAACAAAUAUUUAAUGAGUACCUACUAUAUGCCAUGCCACAAAGAGUAUAAACCUAGAGACAGAAUGUUGAGUCACAUAGACAGUGCUCCUGAUACAAUUAUUUGAACUGAGUUAACAAUACUUCAAGGUUCCAUGUCUAAUUUACUGGCUAGGUUCUCAACAAAAUUUCUGGAUAAGUUAUUUGGCAAUAGAUGAACUUCAAAUGAAUCUCUUAUCUUCAUUAUUACAGAGAAUGAGUUGUCUGGAAUAUUGGAAAUUCACUGUGCUGUCCAAAUUUUCUAAAGCUAUACUUUGUGAAAUCCCCAAACAAUAUGGAUACAUACUUGUCUCGUUCUGCUCUUUGCACCUACAAUUGAUACACUAAGUGUGCUAUUUGCUACUUGUUUAAAGAUUUGUGCAUGUGUGGACUUUUUUGUGUAUUAACCACAAGUAAUGUUUUAAAUUGCUAUUGAGAAAUAAUGUGAG